rnacentral:rRNA from 1 species
UACGUAGGGCGCAAGCGUUGUCCGGAAUUAUUGGGCGUAAAGAGCUCGUAGGCGGUCUGUCGCGUCCGUUGUGAAAACUCGAGGCUCAACCUCGGGCUUGCAGUGGAUACGGGCAGGCUAGAGUUCGGUAGGGGAGACUGGAAUUCCUGGUGUAGCGGUGAAAUGCGCAGAUAUCAGGAGGAACACCGGUGGCGAAGGCGGGUCUCUGGGCCGAUACUGACGCUGAGGAGCGAAAGCGUGGGGAGCGAACAGG